rnacentral:rRNA from 1 species
UCAGUAAGCGGAGUAAAAGAAACUAACAAGGAUUCCCUUAGUAACGGCGAGUGAAGAGGGAACAGCCCAGCACUGAAUCCUGCAGGUUUAUCCUGUAAGGAGUUGUAGUGUUUAAGCAGAAUUGCUCACGGUCAAUCUAUGUCAAGUCCACUUGAACGUGGCUGAAUAUAACCAUAGCGGGUAAUAGUCCUGUGCGGGUAGAUUGAUUUGUGACUGAUUCGGCUUUUGAGUCGGGUUGCUUGGGAAUGCAGCCCAAAGUUGGUGGUACACUCCAUCAAAGGCUAAAUACACACACGUAACCGAUAGUAAACAAGUACCGUGAGGGAAAGUUGAAAAGAACUUUGAAGAGAGAGUUCAAUAGAAUGUGAAACCGCACAGAGGUAAACGGGUGUUGCUGAAAUCGGUGACAAGGAUUCAGUACGGUAAUAGUUGUGGACGGGUGGAUGUGUAUUUCACUCUGAAGCAUUAUUGUCGUAUGCACUUUCUUGUCAUUCGUCUCUGCGACCGAUGCUUGGUUGUUUCGUUGGCAAAUGGAAGGUAGUGGCAUCUCUUCGGAAUGCCAUGUUACAGCCUUUGUCGCGACUCUGACUGAAUAUUGGGACUGCGGGCAGAAUAUUUGGGGUCUUGAUUUAGUUGAAGCAUUGUACGAUACUGCCUCGGCAGUUAGUGCGGUGUCGAUUCUACUUUGGGGCCUUGAUGACUGUCCGAUAGUCAGCAGUUCAAAGUAGGUCAAACACCCGACCCGUCUUGAAACACGGACCAAGAAGUUGAACAUGCCGGCAAGUCAAAGGGCCGACCGAACCCCCAUGGCGCAAUGAAAGUGAUUCACUUUCUGAGAUGUGAUCCUAGAACCUCGGUUCUGGGCGCAACAUCUACCCGUACAAUUUUCGGAUUGUACGGAGUAUGAGCCGGUAUGUUCAGACCCGAAAGAUGGUGACCUAUGCUUGAGCAAUUCGAAGCCAGAGGAAACUCUGGUGGAGGAAUGAAGCUGUUCUGACGUGCAAAUCGAUAGUCAGACUUGAGUAUGGGGGCGAAAGACUAAUCGAACCAUCUAGUAGCUGGUUCUCUCUGAAGUUUCCCUCAGGAUAGCAGUUGUCUGUAUCAAUUAGUCGUAUCCGGUAAAGCGAAUGUUUAGAGGUUUCGGGACGUUUCGCACUCUCGUUCUAUUCACAAACUUUAAAUGGGUACGACGUACGUCGCCUAACCAGCGGGGUACAAAUUGAAUUAUUGGAUAUAGACAACUAGUGGGCCAUAUUUGGUAAGCAGAAUUGGCGAUGAGGGAUGAACCUAACGUUCAGUUAAAGUGCCAAAGGCAACGCUCAUGUAAACCAUAAAAGGUGUUGGAUGUUAUAGACAGCAGGACGGUGGCCAUGGAAGUUGGAAUCCGCUAAGGAGUGUGUAACAACUCACCUGCCGAAAUGUCCAGCCCUGAAAAUGGAUGGCGCUGUAGCGUUGGACUUAAACUGGACCAGCAAUUGAGUCCUAGCAAUUGCAGAGUAAGAGAGUCGCCAUGGUUGUGAAGAAGCGGCGUACGUGGGUGCGUGUGGAGCAGCCAUGGGAGAUGAUCUUGGUGUUAGUAGCAAAUAUUGAAGUGAGAACCUUCAGGACUGAUGCGGAGAAGGGUUUCAUGUGAACAGCAGUUGAUCAUGAGUUAGUCGGACCUAAGAAGCUGGGCAUUGCCAUUAAAGGAAAUAAUGUUGAUCCAGUUAUUUCCGGCUUCGAAAGGGAAAGAGGUUAAAAACCCUCUACCUGACACGGAGAUUGUCCUUCACGGGACGCCUAUGUGGUAACACAACUGGCCCCAGAGACGUUGGCAGAUGUUUUGAGGAGAGUUAUCUUUUCUUUUUAAAGGCCUAAAUCCCAGGAAUCGGAUUAUCCGGAGAUUGGGAUUAUGGACCUACAAAGCACCACAAUUCUUGUGGUGUUCAAAACACUUCUGUCAGCCCUUGAAAAUCUGGGGGAGAUGGUAAAAUUUUCGUGUCAGACCGUACCCAUAUCCGCAGCAGGUCUCCAAGGUUCCUAGCCUUUUAGUGCUAGAACAAUGUGAGUAAGGGAAGUCGGCAAAUUAGAUCCGUACCCUUGGAAAAAGGAUUGGCUCUGAAGGUUUCCUUUGGCGAGCCGGAGUAAGAAGCAGCUUUCGACGCUGGGUGGAAAGGGGACUUCGGUCCUCAGUCCUGCCGGGGUGGGCUGUGGGCGACUCCGGUCGGUGACUGAAUUUUAUUUCAAGUUCACUUCGUCAAAUGUCUAGUAACCAAUUCAGAACUGAUACGGACAAGAGGAAUCCAACUGUCUAAUUAAAACAAAGCAUUGUGAUGGCCCUUUCAGGGUUCUGACGCAAUGUGAUUUCUGGUCAGUGCUUUGAAUGUCAACGUGAAGAAAUUCAAAUAAGCGCAGGUCAACACCAGGAGUAACUAUGACUCUUUUCAGGUAGCCAAAUGCCUCGUCAUCUAAUUAGUGACGCGCAUGAAUGGAUUAAUGAGAUUCCUACUGUCCCUACACACUAUCUAGCGAAAACACAGCCAAGGGAACGGGCUUGGCAAAGUUAGCGGGGAAAGAAGACCCUGUUGAGCUUGACUCUAGUCCGGCAUUGUAAAGAGACACAAAUGGUGUAGAAUAUGGGGAAGGUGCCCUUGUGGUUCCGAAAGUGAAAUACCCCAACAAUUGUAGUCUCUUUACUUAUUCAGAAAGCGGUUAUAUCAGAAAUGCCUGGUUGAAAUAGACCAGAGGAAAGAGAGUGUUUUGAGGAAAACUCUCACGCCGAACUGGAAACAGUGUCGGGUGGGGAGUUUGACUGGGGCGGUACAUCUGUCAAAGGAUAACGCAGGUGUCCAAAGAUGGGCUCAGUAAGGACAGAAACCUUACGUAGAGCAAAAGGGCAAAAGCCCAUUUGAUUUUGAUUUUCAGUAUGAAUAAAGACCGUGAAAGCGCGGCCUAUCGAUCCUUUUGGGAUCAAGAGUGUUGAGCAAGAGGUACCAGAAAAGUUACCACAGGGAUAACUGGCUUGUGGCAGCCAAGCGUUCAUAGCGACGUUGCUUUUUGAUCCUUCGAUGUCGGCUCUUCCUAUCAUUGUGAAGCAGAACUCACCAAGUGUUGGAUUGUUCACCCACCAACAGGGAACGUGAGCUGGGUUUAGACCGUCGUGAGACAGGUUAGUUUUACCCUACUAACCAAGUGUUAUCGUAAUGGUAAUCCUGCUUAGUACGAGAGGAACAGCGGGUUCGGGCCAAUGGUAAAUACUCUUGGACGAAAGUCCAGUGGUGUGACGCUAAGCCCGGGGGAUUAAGAC